rnacentral:lncRNA from 1 species
GUCAUUCUCUGUGGGCCAAGGUGAGGGGAGUUUUAUGAGUCGACAAAUGGUUGGGUUUGCAUGCUGCUUGGGGGAAACCUACAUCCCCAUGCCCCUUCUCCAAGCAAUGCAGGCAGCAGAGGGCUGCACCUGCUGGGCUCUGGAUCAUUACUGAGAAAUUGGAAGGAUUCAGUGGCUUUUCCAUACUGAGUAAACGUUAGAGUAAAAACCUGCAUUGGCCCAUCUCAGUCCUUCCCAGCUGGAAGCACUGUGGUUCUGCAAGAAGACAGCAGAGCUGGCAGGGAAAGAGGUUGGAACAGAAAAUGAGCUGAAACGUAAAGACAGAUAAAGUUUGUAGUGCUGCACCCCAGCAUUUAUGCUGUGAUCUGAAUGAGGAAAAUGCCAUACAGCUGUGUGAUAGUCAGCAGCGUGCAGCUGGAUGGAGAUCUACCCUCACUGGGAACCCACUGGAAGGGUGCAUUUUGGCUAAGACCUCCUCCUACCAGCCUGUUAUAGAGGAUAGGUCAGAGAAGCAGUGGCCUCUCCCCCAAAGGGAUGUGUGCCACAGAAGGAGUAUUUCAGGUGGUGAAACCUGCCCCUGGCAGUCUCCAAGGGCAAAGUGUUUAGAGAGGAGAGGAGAAAAGGGAGAAGGCCAUCUCUCUUUCAAACAGCCAGAGAAACUCUCUCCUAAAGUCGUCUGCUAGAUGUUUCUCUUUAGGGGGAGGGAUCCAAAGCUUUUAUUCUGGUUUGGUGAUUGUAACAGUGUGCUCUUGUAGGAAGAAUACAAAUUUCACUUUAAUAUACUGUUGUUUUGAGUUCUUGAGUUCUUUCUGUAUGUGAGUUCUUGCCUUCGGAAGCUGCACUGUAAAGAGCAUGGGUGAAAACUGGCUAUUACUAAAGGCACUUGAAAAGCAAACUAAGGGAAAGAUGUGGUUCAUGUGCACAGUACUGGGGGCUAAGCCACCAGGGGUCCUGCAAGUGGCCAGUGCACCAGCAGGGAUGGAUGCUCUUGUCCAUUUGUUCCCAAACAGGUGGCUGGGAGCUCAUCUGAGCAUCUGAUGGGCAAGCAAUGGUGGUGGGCUCUGGGCUGGUGAAAGCUUUCAGAGAGGUGGGCUGCAGACACUGACACUUCCUGAUAGGCCCCCAAAGUAAGCUUUCUCCUCUUUUACUAACUCCUGCAAGUUUC